UUUAGCCUACGGGAGGCAGCAGUGGGGAAUAUUGCACAAUGGGGGAAACCCUGAUGCAGCGACGCCGCGUGAGUGAAGAAGUAUUUCGGUAUGUAAAGCUCUAUCAGCAGGGAAGAAAAUGACGGUACCUGACUAAGAAGCCCCGGCUAACUACGUGCCAGCAGCCGCGGUAAUACGUAGGGGGCAAGCGUUAUCCGGAUUUACUGGGUGUAAAGGGAGCGUAGACGGCAGCGCAAGUCUGAAGUGAAAGCCCGCGGCUCAACCGCGGAAUGGCUUUGGAAACUUUUUUGCUGGAGUACCGGAGG
rnacentral:rRNA from 1 species